rnacentral:rRNA from 1 species
UACGUAGGGUGCAAGCGUUAUCCGGAAUUAUUGGGCGUAAAGAGCUCGUAGGCGGUUUGUCGCGUCUGCUGUGAAAACCCGAGGCUCAACCUCGGGCCGGCAGUGGGUACGGGCAAACUAGAGUGCGGUAGGGGAGAUUGGAAUUCCUGGUGUAGCGGUGGAAUGCGCAGAUAUCAGGAGGAACACCGAUGGCGAAGGCAGAUCUCUGGGCCGUAACUGACGCUGAGGAGCGAAAGCAUGGGGAGCGAACAGG